GUCAGGACGUGUCAUUGACGCCAGUGGCGAUCCCAGCUGAGUGUUCAAAGGUUUGCUGUCGGCUCUCUCGCUGCAAAUUGCCUCAAGAAAAGCCGCCUUCUGCACAAAGCGACGCGGCACAUGCGAGAGAACGCCCUGGAUUGCCGACUCGCAUACGUGACAGCACUCCGCUGGCGGAACGCUCGUCGGGUUCGGUUGUCUUUUCCUCAUCUUAGAACGGUGAUGUCCUUUACAAGAAGCAUACGGUUCUCGGUUCAGACACGAGUAGGGGAACCACCCGUAUCGAGACACACAGCUACCGCUUUCGGACGGCACGCCUUCGAUGUUCUGAGAUUGGAUCUGUUUUUGCACCCUUGGGAUGGAUUUCUACGGGGGACUUUGUGAAGCUGCAUGACGCUGUGGAAAAACGCUUGACUCGAAAACUGUGAGGCGGGUAGGUGGUCAACGGUGACAGGCGGUACCUGCUUGCAUGCAGGGUAUCCUGUCUUCACAGCAGAUCAUGGAGAUGGCCCAAUUCUUCCUCAAGGCGCCUUUUUCCGAGAGCGAACGAAAUGGUCCGAAUGCAGGUCAUGAGUGUAUCUGUUGACCUGUGAGUUCAACGGAGAGCGAUCUGAUGACUUGAGGUGCAAAUAGGGUAGGCUGAGGUAGCGUACGUGUUUGCAAGACUCUCCCGAUGGUACCGAUCAUUCCAAGCAAACGCUGUAACAACGGAAUCCAUCUGAGGUGCGCGCUACUAGAAUAAUUGUGCAUCAAACUGAAACGUAGACUUGUCCAUCUCGGCCGUAUAGGCUUCAGAAACCGGUGUACGUGAACGGUUGGUGCACCGGCAUUUGCCGUGUAAGGAUACCCCACUAUCUAUCUCCAGCUGUACUCAGGACUUGAUGGAUAUACAUGCGUCACAAAGGAAGCCUCGAGGGAGACAGCUCCACCUGCACUCACGAAAGAAUUUUUUUCCAAGGUCAACAAAGCAUUCACACUGUACACAAACGUGAACUGUUCCGCAUCCAAAAAUGGAUCGUGCCGAAGACAAUGGUCGCCUCUUUUAGGCGCAGUACGAUGCGUACACUGCAAGAUUUUGUCAGCCAUCGUGGGCCGUGUCGGUUGGCCUUUUCUGUGGCAUCUCAGUGUUGGUACUGCCUGCGAGAGGCAGUCGUAGUCAUUUUUCGUGGACGGUGAGCCUUCUUUGAUUUUCUUCCCUG
rnacentral:lncRNA from 1 species